rnacentral:rRNA from 1 species
GUGUGUUGAUUGUUAUUGGUUAUUUGUGCUAUUUUUGUUGUAUGUUAUUUGUAUGUUUUGUUUAAAGCAGGCUGCAAAGAAGCAUGCAAUAAUAAUAUUACAAAGAUACAAUAAUAUAUCACCAUAAGCACACUAUUAUAAUAUAAGUAAAAUCUAUUUUCCUCCCUAUUGUUUAUGAAAGUUUCUCUAAGGAGAAUGAUUAGUGCAUGAUUAAGGGUAGGAUAUCUGUUUGCCAUAUUUGUCUAUCAUUGUAUAUAUUAAUUUGAUUGUUACAAUCUUAUUCGUAUAUCGAAUGAGAGUAACAGAUUGAUAGAUUGACUGAAUAUGCAUUCUAGAUAAUUGAAAAAAAAACUACC